rfam:Desulfosporosinus orientis DSM 765, complete genome.
UCGGAUGACACUAGCAGGAGAGAUCUGAAUUUUUCAGGCGCCGAAGGAGAAAUCUCUUGAAUUCGCUUUUUCAAGGGGGGAAGCUCUCAGGCAAAAGUACUGCUAGAUGACGAGACUCUGGAGAGUUUCUUGUAAAAAGAACACCAAAGGGGAAGCCUUACGGGCGAAUCUCUCAGGUUAAAGGACAGAGAA